AUUGAACGCUAGCGGGAUGCUUUACACAUGCAAGUCGAACGAGUGGCGGACGGGUGAGUAAUAUAUCGGAACGUGCUCAGUAGCGGGGGUUAACUCCUCGAAAGAGUGGCUAAUACCGCAUACUAUUGGCGCGGCCGAUAGCGGAUUGGCGAGUUGGUGGGGUAAAGGCUCACCACGGCAACGAUCCGUAGCCGGUUUGAGAGGACGAUCAGCCACACGGGGACUGAGACACGGCCCAGACUCCUACGGGAGGCAGCAGUGGGGAAUUUUGGACAAUGGGGGAAACCCUGAUCCAGCAAUGCCGCGUGUAUGAGAAGGCCUUCGGGUUGUAAAGUACUUUUGGCAGAGAAGCGGUAUCUGAAGAAUAAGCACCGGCUAACUACGUGCCAGCAGCCGCGGUAAUUC
rnacentral:rRNA from 1 species